rfam:Clostridium kluyveri DSM 555, complete genome.
UGGGUAGUAUCGUUUUGAGCUGCACCAUAAGUGUUGAUAAAUUAUUCUUCUGCUCAUAUCAAUUUUUGAAAGAGACAGGAUG